ACCAGUGUGGUAUAGUGGUUUGAGCAUUGGAUUAUGACUUUGGAGGCCAAGGUUCAAAUCCCUACUCUGUCA